GAGGGUAUAGCUCAGUGAUAGGUCAUAUGCUUCAUAUGCAUGAAAUCCUGGAUUCAAUCCCAGGUACCUCCA
rnacentral:tRNA from 1 species